GAUGCUGGCUGUCAAGGUGUCUCCAUCCUGGAGCGUCUUAGUGGGUAUCAACAUGUGAAGUAGUUACACCAUCAUAUAGACUAACAACCAAGGGUGUGCUGGAGCCAGCUUGUGCCAUCUCUCCUCAGCCCAAUGUCAAAUUUUCAGUAAAAGGUAUCUGUUCGUAAAUGCCGUCACCCAGUCCUGGAUCCCGCAGUGAGGUCAAUCAGUGUGACUGGAGCGCCAUCUGCAGGAUGUCCAUGGAAGAUGCAGGUGCUGAAUAACUACCGCAGCUGGCUGAGUCUCUCUCUACAUUUCCAGAUGUCUCUCUGGAAGUAGAGAAUGAGUCCAAAUGCAACUGUGCUGCCCAAUGGAGGAUCAUUCUCAAGUAUUUAGAGGAACAACGUCACCAUCUCCUUCUGUCUCCAGCCUCAAAGUUUGGAGUAGAAGUUCAGAUGCUACAGGUACAAUCCCAACCAGACCAAGAAUCAUCAAGCCAUAGUGACCCUGGAGCCAGAGAUUCCCAGCUGAAUGUUGCAGCCAGCCAAACCAGCAGGGAACCCCUGAGAAAGCAGAGUGCCUGGGACAUGAGCCCAAGGCAGGCUUUGGACUUGGUACUUCGGACUGUGAUAUAUAGGA